UUUAGGCUUAGGCUUAGGCUUAGGCUUAGGCCUACGCUUAGGCUUAGGCUCAGGCUCAGGCUUAGGCUU
ensembl:ncRNA T21H3.8 ncRNA